GACGCCUGUCCUCCUCGCGGACAGCAGCGGACUGCACUCUGGACCUGCUCGUCUCGACACGAUUCGAGACCAAGCCAGGCAGGCGAAAAUCGCGGCGGCAUUUUUGUUGUUGGUGUCUUUCUAACAUUAUUUUUUAUCAGAGGCAAUUAAGUCUCUUGGAAAGUGACUUCUGAAUUGUAUUUAAACUUCCUGCCUCGGGAUUUACCUCCACCAGGCGGAUGGGGUCGAAACCCACUGCUGACUCCACAGAGUGGAAAGCACUGCCUGCACCUCCUUUGUGUCUGCGGCAACGUGCGGUGAGGAAAUUUAAGCAGUUGCUCCCAUCCGGGUAAGAAUCUUUUACUGUACAAUCUUUGCUUGCCUAUUACAGCAUUAAUAUUAGUGGUUCGUCCACAUGGGAUGUUCUCAAUGUGCUGUAUCAUUAGUCCCUGUGAAAUUACUACUAUUGCUCAUUGUGAUUCUCUCUAAUGUUUAUUCGGGGGUGUGAGGACCUCUCCUCCAUGAUGGUCACGGUGGAAUCCAUCCCGAUGGCACAGAUGCUCCUCCCCAUGCAGUCUUGGGCAACGAAAGCUAUUGCCCCGCCACAGGAGCGAGGACCUGACCUGAACAUCGCCUUUCUGUUGCUGUAACGAAUGCCCUUGCUGCUGGCCCUGCUGGAAGAAGUCUACCAGUUACUCAAGACGGUAGUGCAGCGGGGAGCACAAGAUACCGCGGUGUGGAAGGAAGUCUGCCCAUCGCUAUCGUUCCCUGAAUCUCUUGCAAAACCUUCCCUCGAUGAUGGCUACGAUGGAAACUUAACAUGAUGGCACAACCGCCCCGAGCUCGAGACUCUAGGAUACAGCCAGACAACAGAGGAUCUCUCUUGCUCCUCCCCGCGAUGCUGGCCCUUGCAGAGUGUACAAGGUGUAGGAUAAAGCCAGACAACCGAGGAUCUCUCUUGCUCCUCCCCGCGAUGCUGGCCCUUGCAGAGUGUACAAGGUGGUGCACCAACUAUAGCGACGGACUGGAUCGCACUAUGCACUUGGAUGCCGAUGAACAAUGCUAUUACCAGACAUGCUGGCCCGUCUCGUUGCUCGCCCCUGACCACUGCAACCAAUGCAGCCUUCGAUGGCCAUCGCUGCCACCAGGGGUGGGUGGAGCCUGGCCUGGACCUCCCCUUCAUGAUCCUGCUGGAGAAAGUCUACCUCCCCAUCCUGGUGAAUUCAGUUUGAACUUCAUCCCCUGCGUAUUCUAAGGCCCGGCGGUGACUGUCUAAAUUAGAUUCAGUGACAUGCCUGAGUUCAGUUUGAACUUCAUCCCCUGCGUAUUCUAAGGCCCGACGGUGACUGUCUAAAUUAGAUUCGGUGACCUGCCAGAGUUCAGUUUCAACUAAAUCUACUAAGGGCUGGCGGUGAUAGUCUUUAGGUUGAGACAUAAGUUGGAUAAUAGCUGUGUUCUUCCGAAAACCCUUUGACCUCAAUAAGUGUGUCAUGAGCUUGCCGGUAGAAAUUCAGCAAAAACCCUUUUACCUUGUUGGGCCAUUAAGUGGGGUAAUAACUGUUCUCGUCCGCAAACCCUUUGGCCUUGUUGGGCCAAUAAAUGGGGUAAUAACAGUUCAAGUCCGCAAACCCUUUGACCUCGUCAAACCCUUUGACCUCAUUGGGCCAAUAAAUGGGGUAAUAACCGUUCAAUUAAAGUCCGCAAACCCUUUGACCUUGUUGGGCCAAUAAAUGGGGUAAUAACAGUUCAAGUCCGCAAACCCUUUGACCUUGUUGGGCCAAUAAAUGGGGUAAUAACAGUUCAAGUCUGCAAACCCUUUGACCUUGUUGGGCCAAUAAGUGGGGUACAAGGGCCAAUAAGUGGGGUAAUAACAGUUCUCGUCCGCAAACCCUUUGACUUCAUCAGACCCUUUGACCUCAUUAAGUAUGUCGUAUAAGAGCCAGUAGAAAUCCAGCAGGCCUGUUGAAGUGUAGCACCAUACCUUGUCUGUCCAGGUACACUUGCGUGAAUAGUGUCGAUCCAGGACCAGCCUACACCACUUUGUAUCUUGAUAACGUGGGCGAGCACGUCAUCGUUAAGUACGAUGCCUAAAUUAAAACAGUCUUCCAUGUUGCUUUCUGCGCCAUCGCUGUUGGAAACACUGUGUCGAGCUUUCUGACUUCUGUGGCCGUCCCAGGUAUAAUUAUAUACCCCUCACCCGAGCCCGUGACGUGUGCGAGGCGGCCUAACGAGCACAGGUAACUACAGUUCUCUGGUUUGUCGCAUUCAUCACUAGUUCCAGGGAAUGAAGUGAAUAAUUACCACGAGUAUCCAAUAGUAUUUAUCCCAAGUAGCCAAUAAUAGAUAAAAAAAAAAAAUACCCCACUCAAGUCAGCGAUGUGUUUGUUCGACAUCAUUGAAAUUUUUGCUUGUGGACGGACAAAUUAAAUAAAACGACAAAUGAAAUAUAACUGUCUAGGCAAGAGGUGUAUUGCUAGCCAUACUGCAGUGACACUUUUGACCUUCACAAAUUGGUCAUUCCAGUAAAUGCAAUUUGGUGUUCGUUGUGUAUGAUUUAAUUGACUGUUCCCUGGGAUAACACCAGUGUGCAUGUAAAGUGUAGCUGAACACCCUUCCACCUUAAAGGAGCACCACACCAGCCGUCACUCCAGCCUAGAUCCACUUCCGGCUCAUCUCGUUGUGUUCUCAUCUCGGUUGUGUUCACUAAGUACAAGUUUAUAAUAGAGCAGCAAUACAUGAAA